GAUGAAGAACGUAGCGAAAUGCGAUAAGUAGUGUGAAUUGCAGAAUUCAGUGAAUCAUCGAAUCUUUGAACGCACAUUGCGCCCCUUGGUAUUCCAUGGGGCAUGCCUGUUCGAGCGUCAUUUGUACCCUCAAGCUAAGCUUGGUGUUGGGUGUUUGUCCACUCCCUCGUGUUUGGACUCGCCUUAAAACAAUUGGCAGCCAGUGUUUUGGUAUUGAAGCGCAGCACAAUUUGCGAUUCUAGCCUAGAAUACUAGCAUCCAUCAAGUCAUUUUUAACGCUUGACCUCGGAUCAGGUAGGGAUACCCGCUGAACUUAAGCAUAUCAAUAAGCGGAGGA
rnacentral:misc_RNA from 1 species